rnacentral:tRNA from 1 species
GUGGGUAUAGCUCAGUGGUAGAGCGCAUGCUUAGCAUACAUGAGGUCUUGGGUUCAAGUCCCAGUAUCUCCA